rnacentral:rRNA from 1 species
UAGGGAAUCUUCGGCAAUGGACGAAAGUCUGACCGAGCAACGCCGCGUGAGUGAAGAAGGUUUUCGGAUCGUAAAACUCUGUUGUUAGAGAAGAACAAGGGUGAGGGUAACUGUUCACCCCUUGACGGUAUCUAACCAGAAAGCCACGGCUAACUACGUGCUAG